AGCUCCAAUAGCGUAUAUUAAAGUUGUUGCAGUUAAAAAGCUCGUAGUUGGAUUUCUGGUGGGAGCGAUCGGUCUGGCGCUUAGCGCGAGUACUUGCAUCGUCUCCGGCCAUCCUUGGGGAGAGUCUGUCUGGCAUUAGGUUGUCGGGCAGAGGAUCCUCAUCGUUUACUGUGAAAAAAUUAGAGUGUUCAAAGCAGGCUUAUGCCGUUGAAUAUAUUAGCAUGGAAUAAUAAGAUAGGACUUUGGUACUAUUUUGUUGGUUUGCGCACCAAAGUAAUGAUUAAUAGGGACAGUUGGGGGUAUUCGUAUUCCGUUGUCAGAGGUGAAAUUCUUGGAUUUACGGAAGACGAACUACUGCGAAAGCAUUUACCAAGGAUGUUU
rnacentral:rRNA from 1 species